rnacentral:rRNA from 1 species
GGUGAGUAAUGCCUGGGAAAUUGCCCAGUCGAGGGGGAUAACAGUUGGAAACGACUGCUAAUACCGCAUACGCCCUACGGGGGAAAGCAGGGGACCUUCGGGCCUUGCGCGAUUGGAUAUGCCCAGGUGGGAUUAGCUAGUUGGUGAGGUAAUGGCUCACCAAGGCGACGAUCCCUAGCUGGUCUGAGAGGAUGAUCAGCCACACUGGAACUGAGACACGGUCCAGACUCCUACGGGAGGCAGCAGUGGGGAAUAUUGCACAAUGGGGGAAACCCUGAUGCACCAUGCCGCGUGUGUGAAGAAGGCCUUCGGGUUGUAAAGCACUUUCACGAGGAGGAA